UUUACCUUACGAUUAACUUCACCAUUACCUAUUACAUUUCCCUUUAAAGGUGGCACAAACGGCUUGCCAUACUGGUCGGAGAUCUGUGGUGUUAGAAAAGAAUAAUUGGGCCUUUAGGAACAUAUCCAUAAUCAGUUUAUUUUAAAUUUGUUACUCCCAACAAUAUUUACACCUAUGUACAGUACACGACAAAUAAUUAUAACUCAACUGUUUGGCCAAGAUAAUCUGUGCAGAAGCCGGCCGCUAUCGAUCGCAUUGGUGUUCAGUGUUGAUAAUAACAUUUUUGUGAUAUUGGCACAAACGCUAGAGUUUCUUCUGAAGUUGAUAAUGUUGAAUUCAACGUCGUAAGUGUCUGUUGAAGUUGUCAUAUUUCGGAUGGCAUCUCUAAUGAGUUUUACGCCCACAGAAAUUAUACUUAUUUUUCCAACUCUGUAUUGAUCACUGUUUCUUUCAUAUUUGCAUAAUAUUAUUUAAUUAUGGAAUGUGUUGAUAUUCAAUGAAAAGAGAUCGUUUAUUCCUUCUUGGCUGUGACACUGUGUGUCCUCUCCAAAAUGCUCAAUCAAUUUCUUUUUCAUAUACACCAGAGAUAAGGCUUGCAGCCAUGCAAAGCCAUUUCGUGACAAAGUACUUUAGAGCAACGAUUUGGAAAUCAUCGCGUAUAAGUUUCAAUGGGUAAUAAUAAAGCAAUGUACUCGUUAAAUAUCUAAAAGGUUUUCCAACCAUUCGCUGUGUUUUCUUUUAAUCGUUUCGCUACUACUUAAUUGCUGUUUUGUAGAUUUUGGUUUCCCUUGAACGAAAACCUUGUAAAGCAAUCUUUAUAAUACCAAAUUUGAUUUUCACACAAAUCUCCAAUCGCAACCAUGAAGCCUCAACCCUCGUUAGACCAAUUAUCUUUUCAUCUGCUCUCACAAACUUGUAGAAACUUUUUUUUGCGUCUGUACGUGUGAUAUGUUUUCCUUGUCACGAUUUUUUUUUCGAAGAAAAAUACAAACACGUUUUUUAAUUGA